rnacentral:lncRNA from 1 species
UCCAUACAGGUACAGUGCUGAGUACAUCAUUUUGAAAAGAAAAAUCAACCUCCCAUGGUUUCAACACCAUAGGUUUGUUUCUGUAUGAGUAUGGCCCAGACUGAAUAACUAGCUCUUUGUCCUCUUUACUAUUGAAAUGAAAGAUGCAGUAACAUUCAGAAUGCAACAUAAUCUGAGGUUUGGACACAAAAUUCCAGACAUACAUCACAAAAUUCUCCAUCAUUUUCUCAUUAGGAUUGUCGCCAAUUACAUAUCCAAUUAAUGCAUUACUCCAGUAAUCUACCUGAGAUUGUAAAUCCUCUUCACUAAUUUUAACAACCUUCUGACCAUCUCUUUCAAUCGGAGGUACAAAUGAGAGAGGCUUACCCAUUUUAGCAUUUCGAUUCCCUCGAACAACUUCAGCAGCAGUCGGAAGUGAUUUUGCAGAACCACUAGUUUCAGAGAAUUGAAGUCUUCGAGCAGCGAGACUAGCCGGCACUUCAACUUUGUCCAUCGGAGGUGGACUCGUAUCAUCUUUUGCAUGCACAUUCUCACACUUCAACAUUGUCCAUCGGAGGUGGAUUUACAGUCGCAACAUCUUCUGCAUGCACAUUCUCUGGUGAUUGGAAUUUCUGUGGAAGGAAAUUUCCAAAGGUCAGAGGUUCCAAUUCCUUAGUGAUACCAUGUGCAGGAGUGACAAUUUGAGUGGUAGUGGGAGCCAAAUUUCGCCGGCGACGAGCCAUCGAUCGGGCACGACGGCGAUCUUACUAUCAUGCACCGAGAUUUUGCUCGCCUCUGUUAGCAUGCGCCGAGAGCGUUUGGCAUAAUUUCCCCUUAUAUAGUUUGCUUUAGAUCCCACAUUAAUUUUGGAACGUGGUCAAUUGGUAUCAAAGCAAUCAGGAUUAGAGAUCCCCAAAGAGUCAUGAGUCGUGUUCUGUAGAAUCAUACGUGUGGGUGUGUAGUGCAUCACAUAUAAUGCCUAGGAGGCUACAAAACAUAUUCGGAAAAUUUUCAUAUUUAUUCUUAUCAUGCUCUAGAUCUAACAAUUUAGAGUUUUAAUGACUAAUCACGAUGGUUAGAACAAGAUCAACUUUAUUAUCAACAUCUAAUGAUGCUUGUGUACCAAUGACUAAUCAACAAAGGUUGCAUGUAGUGGUGCGAGCUGCACUAGUGGCUCUAGUACCACCAGUUGCAAUCAAAGAAGGGACAGAGACAGAGGUAAAGUUCGUGGGUAGAUCUCAUGACCCAAGAUCCAACUAGUCGUGAUGAUACCUAACCCAAUCUUAUUAGAUAAGUCAAUUAACAACUAUCGUAUUUCCAAUGAAAUUCAAUAAGGCAAUUAAGUAAAAGAAAAUAUUUGAAACUUAUACAUUUUCCAAGGACUGAUAGUACAAAUAAUAAGCUUCUAAGAUUAGAAAUUUUCGAAAAUAGUAUGAACUAAAUGGGAGAGUUUGAAAAACUGUAAUUUUCACAAAAAUUCUUUUAGCAAUAAAUAAGAUGGUUUAUUUUCCAAAUAGCAAGAGUAAAAUACAUUUCUAUGCCUAUAUGUUAAUAUGUGUGAGAAGUCAUGAAUGUCAUGAUACCGUGUAGCAUGAGAAAAAUGCAUCUCUAUGCAUAUAUGCCAAAUGUGCAUGUCAAAUGUAAUGUAUUUCAGAGACGAACUCAUGUACUCACGCUCUCAGAUUACUCAAUCUCACUGUCUCAUACUUUCCCCUCAUCAUGAUCAAUCACUCGACAUACUCAGUCACUUAGUACUGUAUAUAGCCAAUUCAGCCCAGGGAAGAUCCAUUCCAAAUAUUUACAUAGCAAUUGAGUACUGUAUAAGGCUAAUCUAGCCGAGGGAAGAUCCAUCCCCAAAUAUAAAUUCUUGGGGAAAGAUCCAUGCCUAGGAAAAAUCCAUCCCUCAAUAUAAAUUAAUCGCGCUCACUAGGGGUGUGCAGACUCCGGAGGGGCUCUUUCGGCCCAAGCGCCAUAUAAGUUAGAUCUAGGCAUAAAUUUAUAUAACAUGUUGUUGCUGUCACACCCCCUUUUUUACCCCUCCAAAAUAUAUGGAUAUUAUGGAUUGUAGUGGGUUAAAGAGUUUUUCCAAAUUAAAUGACAAUUUUGAAAGAGAGAUUAUUUUAUUGCUAAGAGUCGCCACUUGGAAUUGAUUUUUGGAUGCUUCAAGUCACCAUUUAUUUGAGUCCCUAGUCAAAGGAAGGUUUGACUACAUUUUAUUGGUCCGCGAAAAUAAAGUUUGGGUAAGGAAUUCUGUUGACCGGGGAUAAGGUGUAAGGCAUUCCCCGAGUCUCGUGAUUCUAGCACGAGCACUUUUAUUGGCUAAAAUUGGCUUGACUUAAUUUUGAAAAAAUUGUGCUUUAUUUAUUUUUUAUGUUUUACCUAUCCGCUUUUAUUUCUUUAUUAUUAGGUUUAUCAAGAAAAAAAUAAUUUUUGGAUAAAUUAUGUUCUCAUAACCACGCUAUGCGAGCGAAUGCAUGAUCGAAUAAAAUACGUAAUUAACUUGUCAUAAUUGCGCCUCGCAAGCGAAUCCGAAAUCAUGACAAUCAAUUAUUUGUAAUACUUUUUAAAAAAAUUACUACACUUGAGAAAAUUAGCUCUUGAAAAUUUAAAGGUCAACUGUUGCGCUACGCAAACGAAUCCGUAAUUUUAACAAGGUUUAAUUAAAUUAAAAUUUAACUAAAAAAACUAUUGGGUAUGGUAUGAGAUUAUUGAAUUAAUUUAUUGAAUGCUAAACAUCACGCCACGCAAGCGAUUCCGUAAGUUUUGUGCACCUACUAAUUGCCUAGCAUUUAAAUUAAUUAUUAAGGAGAUUAGGUUAUUUUUUUUUUAAAUAUUCACUAGAAAAGGCUAUAAUACUACUACGUUUAUUUAACCAAAUAUAAUAUUUCAACUCUGACUAACUUAUUUAUUAUAAUUGGGCUUGCUGAAGUUAUUGAAAGAAAAUUGGCCUACCUUUAUCGAAAGUAAGGGCUUGCUAUAUCAGCCAACUUUGUUUGAAUUGGGCUGCAGAAAUUUAGAUUUUAUUUGGCCCACAUGAUUAUGUUUUUAAAAAAAGGGAAGAACAAAGGGCCAGCUAGCAUACUUAAACAAAAUGGGCUUUUUAUCAUAAGUUACAUGGCAAUGCUUAAAAGAAAUACCUAGUUUGCAGAAUUUUAGAAUGCAGCAACAGAGAAAAUGAAACUCGGCAGCAAAUGACCGUAGAAAAUAGCAAUAACAACAGCGAAACAGCAGUGAGUCGUGCUAAAACAACACAUAAAUCUCACUAACAAUAGUGAUUCUUUAAGAGAAGGAACUACAGAAUCAAACUCUAAGACUCUUAUAUGUUCUUGAAAGAUUCUGCACUCUAAAACUCAACCAAAACUCAUGAUUUUCAGCUAACUUUUCAUGUGUUCAACUGCUGAAUUUUUUUUAUGUUUGGUGUGUUCAAGAAAUUCCAAAUAUGUAUGGAAAUGUGAUGGAUUCCUUCCUUAAAAAUGAGGAAAGGGCAGCCCUUAAGUAGGUAAAGAAAGACACUUUUGGGGCAAAUUUUUGUUCACCAAAAAUCUGUCAAAAAAGGAUUGAUUUUGUGUGCUAAACACUAUUCAAAGACUGUCUAAAAGGUAAAAGGACAACCUGAAAAUCUGCUAUUGCACAAGCAAGGAGAAAAAUAUCAUUUCAGCCACCCUACUAUUCAAAAGUAAGCUACUAGUACCCUAAGUCAUGAUCAAACCCAUAACAACUUCAGAUUUUAACAACAUCAUUACCACCCUAUUGAUUUUGAACCAAAACAAAUCACACAACUAACGAUUGACAAAAUAUAAAAACUCAAACUAAUUAGAUUAAGACAAAUUGAUUUGUGAAAACUAAACAUAGAACAAACAACUGAAUUCACAAACUAAUGCUCGAAACAAAUUUUGAACAUCGCUAAACUAUCACGAUUAAUAGCAACUAAAUAUACGACUAAUUAUAUGGAGAAUUCAACUAAUCUUAUGGUUUUUUUCCAUGAAAAUAACGUAAAUACUUAACUAUUCGACCAACUAGGUCGAAAGAACUAAAAAAAUUCAAACUUAACAACUAUAUACAAAAUAGUCGACCACUAAAUCGAAGAACCAAAAAUCAAAACUAACAGACAUUAAAUAACUACUCGACCAACUAGGUCGACAAACUGAAAUUCAUAUUUUUAAACUUGUAAAUAAAAACUAAUACUCAUUGCUGGGAAAUUCAACCUUAGAAUUAGAAAAUAUAAAAAUAGGAAAAGGAAAUUGACGUUUUACCAUACAGAGGGAUUCAACGCCAAAUCGAGCAAAGAGAUGAAUGCCGGGGAUGACGCCAUACUGCUCGACCUUGAAUGGGCGUUUCUUUCUAUCAUACUCAAAAACCAAUGAGUUCUAGUGUUGUGCUAGAGAGGAAUGAGCAUUUUUGGUCGGGGAUAAUCUAAACAAUAAAAGGUCCAUGAUGGUCUUGGGGUGGUCGAGGCAGUUGCGAGCACUGGUGUGGUGGGCAGCGCUGGUCGGACGUCGGGCAGUGGGGGUGGCUGCCGGAGGUGGUGAGUUUUUUUGAGGUUUUGAGUUAGAGAUAUGGAAAGAGGGGGAGAAGAAGAUCCUGGUGGUGUAAAAUUUUUGGAGUUUGGAGUGGUGGGUGGUGGCUAGGAUUCCGGUUAAGCUUAGAUCUACUGAUAUUGAGAAGGGUUAUGGGAUUUUGGGGUUCAGAUUCAUGGAGAGGAAGUAUAAUGGAAGAAGUGGUAAAAUUUGAGGGUGGAUUGGAGGUUGACCACCGCUGGUGGCGAAUUCCUGCGGGCGGCGCUUGGCGGACCUGGGAGAGAGAAAAGAGAGUGAUGAGAGAGUGAGGAGAGGGGAAGAAGAAAGGGAAAUAAGGCAAAAUGGGGGCAAUAUUUGGCCAAACUAGGCUUUAAAUGCCUAGGGUGGAAGAUUAAUCAUGGCCAUUGGAUCAUGUGAUGAUGAGUGGCUAAGAUUAAAUCUUGCCUAAUUUAUCAAACCGACGUCAUUUUGGACGUCUCAAACCACAAGGUCUGGAUCGUGUUUGGGCCGCCAAAUUAAUCCAAUUUUGGGCCAAUUUCAUUUUUUUUAAAUGAAAAGCCAAGUCCCUUAACCCCCUUAAAAAAUUAAUUAAACUAAAAGUCUAAUUCUAAAAUCUCCAAAUAUACACAAGACAAUUAUUCAAAAUUACAAUGUAAAAAAAACAAAAAUUAGGCAUUUAUAGCUGCCCUUCUUUGCUCGAGAAUAUGAAGAGUUUUCGCGCAAAGAUGAAUUUCAUGACUAACUUUUGCUCCUUGUGACUCUAGUGAAAGCAUUUUUGAAAAAGGUGACCAAACCUUGCUUGUGAGGUUGCCUACAUAUUCUUGGCUACAAAAGAAUCGGGUUGGUGUAGUUAUGAGAAAAUUUGGUAGCUGGGACUACUAGACACUGGAGUUAAGAAUGUUGUUGCUGUUGCUGCCAUACUGUUACUUGCUUCUUACAUCAAAAGAAAAAGAGAAGAGCAUUAUAUAUGUGUACAAACUAAGAGUACAAAUUCCUACCUAUGUGUCUUCUGGAGUCAAAUCUUGAUUCUUGACUUGCUCAUUUGUGUUGACAUUAUAUUGGAUCUUGAUGCCUUUUUGAAGAAACGAUUAUGGCUCAUUCUCUAUUGCUUGAUUUCUUUCUUAGGACUUGAGAAGAUGAAUCUUGAGACGCUUUGUUGCCGACACAUUGUCAAAGUUAAACCCCGACUAUCCUGUGAUCGAAGGAGUUCUUUCUUCUGAUGAGAAACUGAAACUGCAAGCUUUAAUCGCCAUUUGUGGUGUACGACAGAGCCUACAAAGCCAUCAAACACAAACAAAAGCGAACAAAAAUUUUCUGCCCCAGUCCGACACUAGAACAUUUUUGCGAGUUAUUAGGGAAAUUUGUAAAUUAUCUAAUUUAAUGAAAAGGCGGAGACAAAUAAUAGUAUAAACUAGCUAAAAAGAUAAAAUUUGGUAAUGAAUGAUUGUGUAACCAGGGAUCGGUACCCGUACUACUGAAGGGAAAUGUAACCAGGUGUUGGCACGCUAUCUUACAGGAAGGAAAUAUAAUAAAGUAUUAGCACCAUGCAUUAUUGAUAAAGUGUUGAAUCCCUCUAGGUGAAAAAGGUUCUACCUGAGUUAAACUGUAUUAAACAACUUGAGCGAAGAUUACUUCUGCCCAGAACUAUGAGCUGGAUAUCUCUAGGUGAAGCGGUUCUACCUUAGUUAAACUACAUAAAACACCCUAAGUGAAGAGUACUUCUUCUUGGAACUAUGAGCUGGAGCCCCCUAGGUGAAAGGAUUCUACCUAAGUUAAGCUGUGUAAAACAACCUGAGCAAAAAGUACUUCUACCCGGAAAUAUGAGUUGUAUCCCCAUAGACGAAAGGAUUCGACCUGGGUUAAGCUGCGUAAAACACCUUGAGCGAAGAGUAAUUCUACCCGGAACUAUGAGCUUGAUCCCCCUAGGCGAAAGGAUUCCACCUGAAUUAAGCUGCGUAAAACACCCUGAGCGAAGAGUAUUUCUUCCCGGAAAUAUGAUAUGGACCCCCUAGGCAAAAUGGUUCUACCCGAGUUAAGCUACGUAAAACAACCUGAGCAAAGGCUAUAUCUAUCUGAAACUAUGAGCUGGAUCCCCCUAGGAGGAAAGGUUCUACCUGAGUUAUGCUACGUAAAACAUCCUGAGCGAAGAGUACUUCUACCCGAAACAAUGAGCUGGAUACCUCUAGGCAAAAUGGUUCUACUUUAGUUAAGCUACAUAAAAUAACCUGAGCGAAAACUACUUCUACCUGGAACUAUGAGAUGGACCCCCAUAUGCGAAAAAGUUCUACUUGAUUAAGCUACGAAACUGGGAGGUGUGAACAAUAGUGAUGCAUGCCAAAAACGAAAAAUGGAGAUUUUAAGGAUCUUACAUUUGGUGACGUUUGUUUCUUUUAGAAUUGCCAUUCUGCACCGCUUUGUUCCUGCUUCAAACAAAGAAAUAUUUAUGAGUUUCCAAAGUGGUGGUUGGUUUGUGCCUUGAUCCCUUGAUACCUUGAUUAGUUUGAUUCACGGCCACUACUGUCGAAGAAACGAUUCUGUCAGCGUGGUACCGAGAUGCUCGGCUGCUCUAUAUUAUUUUCUAGAGACCUUGGAUUUACAUUAUUUCCCCCAACUGUUUCAUACACAGAUGUCCAUGGUACCAAUACCCUUGCCUCUAAUGCAAUGCAUUUUUAUUUAAAAUCAAACUCGAUUGUCUUGCACCCAGUAUCAGUAUCCGUAGUGCUUAUCAAAUUUUGUCAUGAAGCAGGUCCUACUCAUGCGACUUUCUUGUUUCUUUGAAACACUUUGUUCGCCUUAUUGAAUGAGAUCACAUAUUGAUUCGUGCCUUCGUCAAUGAUAUAUAUGCCUUAAAUUUUGCUCGAUAUUACCGGGAAAUUGCAGCUAGUUUUUCAGCCAUUUUUUUGUUUCAAUUUUGACGCAGGAUAUAGACCGAAAAGAGGACCUAAAGAAAAGUUCUGGGAAAAAAUAGAAUAAUAACUGGAAGCGAAAAAGAACUGUGCUUAUAAAAAAGGUGUCCCUUUUGGGGAAAGUUAUAGCGAGACUUAUUUGGAGGUAUGUGCCGACUUUAAUGAAUCCUGACAUACAUUUUGGACUAGACGCCUGAUCCGUCCGAGCUGUCUAAUUCUCAAAAUCAGCCGCAAUUGUUCAUCUUGAAAUUGUCUUGGUUGUGCUCAUGCCGGAGAAUCCAAAAACCCUCAUUCGGCUAGUAGCACCCUUUGUAGGUUUUCGCUAACUAACCUCUCUCAUUUCUCUACUAUCGUCGCCUUAUGGUGCCCAUCUGGAUUUUUACCAACAAGACUCUCAUUUCUUCGCUAAUUGUCACCUUAUAGUGCCCGUACGAGUUUUCACUAAUAAGUUUCUCUCAUUUCCUUUUUUUUAUUCUUUUUUUUCGUCUUUUUUUUACUAAGAUACUGCAUGCAUGAGGACUUCAAACAUUCUCAAAAAAUAUCAAUCAGAAUUUCUUGAAAAGUAAAAAAGGCGAAAUGAACCUUGAACUAAAUUACAACUUUUGGAACAGUUUUUAUAGAAAAACUAUGAAAUAAAGCAAACUUCUGCCCUAGUUUUGGAGUAUUGGAACGAUGGAUUUUUUAUUUUGAUGGGACCGAACCCAGGGUAAGGCUGCCUAUGUAUCCUUUCGGAAUCAGGUCGGACGUAGUUCAAUGACUCGGAGAUUUGUUGUUUGGCCUUUUUUCUUACAAGUACACAUGUUCCAAAAGUGAGAAACAAAGAAAACAAAUGCGGAUCAAAAGGAUUAAUAGAAGGGUGACACCUAUUUGGAAUAGCGAGAAAAUAAUAGCCUUCGUCACUUCAAUCUGAGAAAAUCAAUGCGUGAAAAUUCUACAGUGGGUAUAUAUCAAACAUAAUAUCUUUUGACUGUAUCUGCAUUAAUAGUCAUAUCCGGUACCCAUCAUUAUUCAUCUACCAAGUGCAAGGCCCCUUUUGGUAACACUUUCUUGACAAUGUAGGGUCCUUGCAGAUUCGGGGCGAACUUUCUUUUAGCUUCUACUUGAUGCGGAAGGAUGCGUUUCAAAACUAGUCGGCCUACCUCAAAUUGCCCCGGGCGCACUUUUUUAUUGUCAGCGCGUGCCAUUCUUUGCUGGUAUAACUGGUCGAAACACACUGUUGCUAUUCACUUUUUGUCGAUCAACAUCUGUUGUUCUAAUCGGGUCUUGACCCACUCAGUGUCUUCAAUCUCCGAUUCCACAAUAAUUUGGAGAGAGGGAAUUUCGACUUCGGUGGGUAUUACAGCUUCAGUUCCAUAUAUAAGCAGAUACGAAGUUGCACCAAUAGAUGUGCAUGCAGUCGUGCGGUAUCCCAAAAUAGCAAAAGGCAACUUUUUAUGCCAUUGCCUAGAACCUUGGAUCAUCUUCCUAAGAAUUUUCUUGAUGUUCUUGUUUGCCGCUUCAAUGACUCCAAUUACUUUUGGCCGAUAAGGGUUAGAAUGGCGAUGCAUGAUAUUAAAUUGUUCGCAUACCUCCUUUAUCAAAUGAGUAUUUAGAUUGGCUGCAUUGUCAGUGAUAAUGGUCUUUGGGAUACCAAAGCGACAAAUGAUGUUGGAAUGAACAAAGUCUACCACUGCUUUCUUGGUGACCGCUUUGAAAGUGACGGCCUCCACCCACUUGGUGAAGUAAUCAAUUGCAACCAAAAUGAAUCUAUGCACAUUUGAAGCCUUUGUCUUGAUCGUCCUAAUAAGAUCCAUUCCCCAAGCAACGAAAGGCCAAAGAGAGGACAUGGGAUGCAAUUCCGAAGGAGGCAUGUGAAUCAUGUCACCUUGAAUCUGGCAUUGGUGACACUUGCAAACAAAUCUGAAGCAAUCUCGCUCCAUAGUAAGCCAAUAAUACCCUGCAAGCAGAAUCUUCUUCGCCAAAACAUAUCCAUUCUUGUAAGGUACGCAUACCCCCAAAUUCACUUUGCUCAUAAAUGAGACGAGUCAGGGAUCCAGAAUGACUUCAUUGACUGAUCACCAAGCAAGAAAGAUGCUUUACGCAACAUUUCAGGUUGGAAAACACUAUAAGUGUGUCAUCAAGUUAGGUUAGGCCAUCCUCGAAACUAGAUGUGGUCACCUUUCUGAUCUAACAUCAUAGGCGAUGGCCAGGGAUCAUCCUCUCAAUAGGACAGAAAGAAGGAAUCUUCCUAGGAAGAACCUCGACGGUUUCUGGAAGCAUCCUUUACUUUGUUGUUCACAGUAGCAGCUUGCCAAGUUGGAGAAUGAGGACUGUCGGAUCGAGGGCAUAAAGGCUAUAACAUAAAGUUGGAGGCCUUAUUUAUGGGACAUCUAGAAAAUCCAUCCCAUUCAAGAAGCCCCUACUUAUACCCCUACUCCCUUCUAUCCUUGAUGGAUCAAUUGAAGAACUUUACAGAUCAAAAUGGAAUUCAGAACCGCUAUAGAAUCUAAUGACUUGAUCGCGAACUAUAGUCAUUCUUGUAUAGCAUCUAUGCAUCUCAACAAGUUUAAAUCUGGGGUCCUCUUGUACAGAAUUUCCCCAUUCAGGAAGAAACCACUGGCGACCUACCUUAUUGUUCUUUUUUGAUCUUCUUUAGCAUGCUCUGGAUAUUCUCUUAUUUUGAGGAAUCAUUUUAUGUCAUGAUACCAUGGUUUACCGUCUGUUUCUAUCUCAAUUGUAUUGCAGUAACCGUGUUGAUUCCGAACUUGGAUUUCUAGUAGAUCAAUAUGAGUGUUGCCUAGAUGAGGGAGAAUUGAGGCUAAAGUAGCCAAGUCAUCGGCUAGCUCGUUAUGAAACUUGGGAAUGUACCUGAACAAACUUCGUAUUCUGCCGUAUUAUUAGUACAGAAGAACUGAAGUUGCAAUGUUGCAGAGUAAUGAUGUCCAAUAGGUAAGAUAAGGAUUGCCCCGAUCCCAACUCCUUUGAUAUUGAUAGGCCCAUCAAAAUACAUUUUCCAUACAGGGUGAUCGUCUAGAACCACUUCCUCUAUUGAGUUGACCUUUUCAUCUGGGAAGUAUGUGCUAAGUGGCAUAUAAUUAUCAUCAACUAUAUUCUUUGCCAAAUGAUCUACCAAAGCCCGUGCUUUUAUCGCGGUGCGAGUGACUUCCGUUUUGCGAGCCUACCAGUAGGCAUUGAUUUUUGGAAGAUGUAUUUCAAAGGAUCCAUUGUGGAUAUGAGGUAAGGAGUGUAGGCAAAAGAUACUAUCUCAGCUUCGGGUGUACUUAACCUCAUAAUUGGUGAACUUCUUGCUAAAAUAGUAGAUUGCCUAUUCUCUUUUGCAUGUUGCAUCAUGUUGCCCACGAAACAUCCAAAGGAAUUAUCCAUCACCAAUAGAUAUAUAAACAAAGGCCUACCAGGUUCAAAUGGGAACAGUACAAGGGGGUUUUGACAGAUAAUCUUUGAUCACGUCAAAAGCUUUUCGGCAAUCGUCUGUCCACUUGAUAGCGACAUCCUUUUUCAAUAACUUAAAGAUGGGCUCGCACGUGGUUGUGGGCUGAGCAAUGAACCUACUGAUAUAGUUCAACCUCCCGAGAAAACUCAUAACUUCUUUUUUGUUCUUCGAGGGUGGAAGAUCUCGAAUGGCCUUUAUCUUAGAUGGAUCCAGUUUGAUGCCUCUCCGAUUGACUAUAAAACCGAGGAGUUUCCCAUAUGGAUUCCCAGAUGCACACUUGGUUAGAUUAAGCUUAAGGUUAUACCUUCGAAGCCGUUCGAAGAAAUCUUUCAAAUCGCGCACGUGAUCCAAUUGUGUCUUUGAUUUCAUGAUGAAAUCAUCAACAUAUAUUUCAAUCUAUUUGUGCAUCAUGUCGUGAAAAAUGGUGGUUAUGGCCUUAUGUAAGUUGCCCAUGUAUUCUUUAAAUCGAAUGGCAUGACCCUGUAAGAAUAAGUACCCCAUGGACUAGUGAAAACGAUCUUUUCUGCAUCAUCUUCAUCCAUUAGAAUUUGGUGGUACCCAGUAUAUCAAUCAAUGAAUGAUUGUAUCUCAUGAUUUGCGCAAUUAUCUACAAGAAUGUGGAUAUUUAGUAAAGGAAAUUAUCCUUUGGACUUGGUUUGUUCAGUUCCCUAUAGUCAACACAAAUUCUGGUCUUUCUAUCCUUCUUCUAUACAGGCACAACAUUCGCCAUCCAGGUGGUGUAUCGGACAACUCUGACCACAUUCACGCUUAGUUACUUCAUUAUUUCCUCUUUCAUUUUGUCACUCAUGUUUGUUUUAAAUUUUUGUUGCUUUUGUUGGACUGGUGGAAAACUAGGAUACAUAGGAAGUUUAUGAAGCACCAGAUCAACACUUAAACCCGGCAUAUCAUCGUAAGACCAAGAAAACACAUCUCUAUAUUCAAAUAAAAGUUGAAUCAAGGCAUCUCUAAUUUUUUGUUCAGUAUGAAUGCUUAUCUUCAUUUCUCUAACUUCUUCAAGAUUUCCAAUAUUAAUCGGCUCAGUUUCAUUGAGGUUUGGCUUAGGCCUGUUUUCAAAUUAUUCCAACUCUCCUUUUAUUUCCUCAACAACCUUAUCUUCCUCAUAUUCAACCUCUUUAUGCAUUAUUUAGAUUAGAUAGCUUUUUAAGAUCUGGGCGUGAAUUUCGCAUGAAUGUCAUUUUAUUAAAGCCAACCUUAACAGAAUUGAAAUGGAAAUAAAAUGAUAGGAAUUAGGAAAAGGAAAAGAUACACAACUUAAUAGGAAACUGAACUGCAUUUCAUUGAAUUCGAAAUAAUAGAAGGGUUAACAUAAAAAAAAAUAAUCAUACUGAGAUGUUUAGAUUACAACCCUAAAAGUGACCCAAAAUACAAAAAAGAAGUUGCAAAAGCAAACUACUAAGACUCAUUCCUUGUGGGGAGAGGAGUAGCUUCCAUUUGGUGAUGAUGGUGUCUGGGUCAAUUAGUUUCAUAUCGGUAUGACUAAUGCCUUCACCAGCCUCGAUCAUAUUCACUUCAGGAAACAUCUGGCUGAGGCCAUGCCAAAUUUUAUCAAUGUUUGCAUGCAUUGAGGAAUUUUGACCUUUUUGGAGUCAUGGCUUGAAGAAAGUGUAGAAAAUGUGAGGGAUAGGUUGUUGCAAGACCCAUCCAUGUUUUUUGCGGUGUUUGGAUUUGUUUUUCGUCUGAUUCUGUUGGCCUAAAGCAUAAGCCAAAAGUAACUUGGUUACCAAAUGGAGAAAUAGGCUCCGAGAUUCCUUUCAAUGAUUCCCCCAAGCUUUUUCCUGGCUCAUUACCUUGUCUCCUCGUAACUGCAGGCACCAUAACGAAUGUGGCAAAAAGACAAUGAUGCAGAAUGGGCUUUCCUUCCUCGACAUGGUCCAUAACAACCACUUCAAAAGCAUGUUAGACAAUGAACUCAUACCCUUCCUUGGCCUCAAUACAGGGGAUUAAUGGGUCUUUAUAAAUGGAAGACUCAUCUUCCCCGUGAACGAUAAUUUCUUUCCAGUCAUGUUCGAAUUUGAGCCUUAUAUGCAAAGUGGAUGGCACAACUUGGGUUGUAUGGAUCCAUGGCCUUGCAAGAAUAAAGUUAUAAGAAGUGGCCAUGUCCACUACUUGGAAAACAAUAUCAAAGUCAAUGGAGCAAUCAUCAUUGUGAGGUUGAUCUCCCAAUGGUAUCUCUUGCUGAGCCAUCAAAAGCCCGGAUGCGAACAUUCCUGGGUCGGAUUCUGUCUGUAUGGAUCUUCAUGCUCUGUAAGGUAGAGAGGGCAUACAUCUACACUCGAGCCUCCAUCAACCAGGACUCACUUUACAUAAUGACCCUCAUAUUUGACCAUAAAUUUCAAAGCCCUAUUGUGCCAGGCUCCCUCGUCGGGAAGUUCAUCAUCUGUAAAGGAGAUUUUGUUUACCUCAAAAAUAUCUGUUGGCCAUAUUCUCUAACGGAUUCACUGUGGUCUCCUCUGAUAUAUAUGCCUCGUUCAGGACUUUGAUUAGUACACGGACAUGCUCUUUGGAAUGUAGGAGCAGAUAUAGUAGAGAGAUUUAAGCGGGAGUUUUUUUAGCUGGUCAAUGAUUGAGUAAUCCUGAACUUUCACCAUUUCCAAAAACUCUCCCGCAUAUUCUUUAGUGACUAGUUUCUUUAUUGGAAAAUGGCCUUCUCUAACUGUUUUGGCCUUCCACAACUCUUCUGGAGAGUAGCAUCUCCAUGAUCGAGUCGAACCUCUAAUUUACCCGACUUCUCUAUGAUUUCCUUGCCUUUGUAGGUCAUCAUCAUUUUGUUGUAGUUCGAUGGAGUGGUUUUUUAUGUUGGUUACAGGGAGUUUCAAGGUUUGAUUACGAUCGGCUAUGUAAUACCUUUUAUACCUCCCUGCUUUUCCCUUUUUACGGGGUGGCCUCCAAGUACAUAUAACCUUGGGCUUAGAAUAGUGGAGUGAACAUCCAACCUAGAGAUCUUUGGAAUAAUUUAUGUUGCCUUAUUUGAACUUUGGGCGUCUUUCACAAUAAAUGGCACAUCUCGGCUGAGACUUAUUUCAAGACUUUCUCCUUCUUAAAUUGCACCCACUAUCAUUUCUACUAGACUGACCCGCUUGUAUUCUUUGUCUCGGCCAAUAGUUCCUACAAAAUGAACAUCAUUAUGUACUGGUAACAGGUUGUUUGUCAUGUUAUGAGGGUCCUCGCCAUUCGUCACUGCAAUCAAUUUUUCAGAAAUGAGUCUCUCUAUGGUUCUUUUCAGAGUCCAAAGUCAUCAGUGCUAUGCCCUGGGGCACCAGAAUGAUAUUCACAUCUAGCAUUUGCUUAAAAUCCAUGCGAAUCGAGAUGGAUAUGGUGGGGAGUGAUGGGUCCAAUCACCCUCAUUUGCUUCAGCUUCUGGAAUAGACUAGAAUAUGAUUCAGCCAAUGGAAUGAAUUUUUCUACCAGCCUCUGGUCUCGACCAUAAUCUUUCCUGGGACGAGCAUUGCAGGCUACCCGAAAAUUUUGCUGAUGAGGUCGGGGUGCCAUUGGAGAUUGUGCUCGUAUUCGCCGAUUAGGGGGAUGAGCAAUGAUUGAGCAUUGAACAUUGUAUAUUGUGGUGGGCCCACAGAGUAUUGAGGAAUUGGUAGGGGAUAAUAAUGUUGAUGGUAGCUAGAUUUCCCCUGCCGAACUUGCACAUAAGGGUGUGAUUCCCCUCUUUGAACCUCCCUAGAUCACGAAGCCAUCAUGGAACCUUCAUCUCUCUUCUUUCUAUUUGCCAAACCUCCCGACCCAUUUUAGAUAAGCUUGGGUGGUGGCUUUAAGAGUAGCUUGAUUUACAAUUAUGCCAGUCUUGAGGCCAUUUUAGACCACCUCCCCUAUUUUGAUUACUUCUUCAAAAGGUCUACCCAUCACGGACAUCAUGUUUUGAAAGUAAUCAGGCUCUUGAGCCUCCAGAAAAAUAGUGAUUGGGUGGCUAAACUCUAGUCGCUUGCUCCCUCCACUUGAUGGCAUACUUCCUAAAACAUUCGAUCGUGUGAACACCUAGUCCCUUAUAUUUCUCAAAUUUUGGGAUCUUCAAUCCUCAUGGCAAAUGGAUGUGACGGAACAUGCAUAGAUAACUGAAUGGAACACUGUUUGAACACCUAGGGACUGCAUAUUCUUUAUAUUCUAUUCAAGACUUUUCAUUUUUCUGUCCAUAUCAUCUGGCUCAACAAUUGUGGUAGGCUUUUCAUUUUCCACUAGUGAUUUGUAUCGAGGAGUCUGAUUAUAUGGAGCCGAGACCCCAAAAGCCAUAUUUGGAGAAUAGUAUUGACCAUCAUAAGCAUGAGAUGUUGGCUUAGCCUCAUCACAGGUGGUGGCGGUGGGAUUGUAUAUACCAGUGCGCCAAACACAACGAGAGGGGUGUUCCUAACCGGUGCGACUAGAGGUUGCAUAUUAGAGGUACCGGGGGCAGCAUGGAGGCUAUAUUUUAGCAAAUACCCAUGUGGUAGAAUAGGAUCACUCAUUGCAUGGAGCGUAGUUUGAGUAGCCUAUGGUAUGGUGGAUGUUCCCUCUGAAGAAUCCUAGGGUGGAGGUCGACCAGAUACCCAAGCUUAUAUACAUUUGACAAUUGUUGUCUCAAUUUUAUUAUUUCCUCUUACUCUUGCUCAACUAACUGACCCUAUGGAUCGUCACUGACUAACUCGAUUUGAUCACUAUUAUCCAUUAUCACCGCUACCUUAGAUCAUGUGAAGUAAUGAUGUGUUGCCAGUUUUCACCACAAACCAACCACCUUAAGCUUACUAUAUAAAAGGCAACAAAUAUGUUAGGGUUAAUCAUUUUACAAAAUCAUUUUUGUUAAGAGACAAACAUCUUUUUGGUUUAUUUUGGAAUUUUCGAAGCAAAAUUAUUUUUAUUGAUUUUUCAAUAUGGAUAAUUUUUCUUUUUUUUUUAUACAAGACUCAAGAAGAUGCAAUUACAUAAAGAUAAAUAAGACCAGACUUGACUCAAACAAACCUUUUAUGAUAAAAGGCAAAACAAUGCGACUCAAAACACCAAAAGACUCUUACAGACUCAAGAACAACAAAAGAAGAAUGACAAAGGACUGAGAACUAAAAGAGGACUUUGAUCUCUGCAGUAGAAUCCACCAGUAUCAUUAUAAUCAAGGUGCUUGUUCCUGCGACAGACCCCUAACAUUGCUGUAUAUCCUCUCCAAGACUACAGAUAUAUGACGAGCAACGUUCAAUGAUACUUCUGCAAAUCGCUUAGGCGUCAUUCCCAGACAACUCAUGCAUGCUCCUGAGGUAUAUGUGGCUACCUUGAGGAUCUUUCACUUAAUGUAUUCUUGAGCCACAUGCAACUGUUGAUUUUGUUGACCACGGGUCUCAGCUAGAUCAAGCGCAUCAUGCUCGAGGUCCUUGGCCAUAUCUUUUUGGCGCCGAACAUCUAGCUACUGCGCUUUUAACUGAUUGAUCACCUUUUGAUAGUGGUGUCUUUCUAUCUCAAACUCCGCGAUCCGACUCUCCUUUCUUGACUCAACUCCCCCUAUCUGAUCCCUCAGACCUUGGAUUAACGGAGCAAAACCUCUACGCUUGUGAUCACGGAUUACCCUGAACUGGGCUUCUUUCUCUUCUUGUUGCUGAGCGGUUGCGACUAUGAUCUUCUUUUCAAUUUGGGAUUUGAGUGCUUGCUUCUCUCGUUCCCACUGAGCCUUUUCCCGCUCAAAAUCAGCCUGUUAUAUGUCCAUGACUGUCUCCAUAAUUCCCUUAUCUUCUUGUAAAGUGUCAAAACAAGAUUGGAACUGUCACGACCCUAGUUCACCAAUCCUGAACCUAUCAAGACGCCACCCAGUCUUUACUACUAGGUAAGCCUAACACAUCGUGGAGAUUCAACAACCCUUACGAAAAACGACAAAUAAAACAUAAAUAGCAUAAAAAUGUAUAAAGUGCCGCCUGACACAUACACUUCGACUCAAAUAAUGUAAAAACCUCCAAGACCCAGAAACCCAUGGGCAACACAGACUAAGAGUAAAAUAUAACAUACGGCGCUAACAUCCAGGAGUGUCUACACCAAUGAGUACAUGAACAAAACUACUAUUAAAGGUAGAAUAGACGGAGACUCCUCGGCUCUGCAGACGCGGCAUAUGCAUACCUCGAAUCUCCAAGUGUAGCUCCUAAAAUCACUGACAGCGCGCCCGAUCAAAAGUAUCUGGAUCUGCACAACAAAAGUGUGCAGAAGUGUAGCAUGAGUACACCACAACGGUACUCAGUAAGUGCCAAGCCUAACCCUGAUGGAGUAGUGAAGAGGAAGGUCGGGGCCCUACUGAGACGAACAUAAGAAUAAUGUAAGAAUAAAUAAAUAGUGGAUCAUGAAGUAAAUCUCGAAUAUCUAACAAGACAGUAAUUAAAGCAGAACGGCUACAAGUACAGACUACAAACACAAAACAAGUCACUCAAAAGUCAGGAUUUCCACAUGGAGCUCCGGGAAUUGAACCCGCAGUCCAUUUAUACCAAUAUCGGAGGAUCUCCAGGGAAUCGAACAUGUAGUCCAUCAUACCUCUAAUAGAGGAUAUCUAGGAAUUGAACCCGCUGUCCUUCAUACCAAUAACAGAGGAUCUCCGGGAAUUGAACCCGCAGUCCUUUAUACCAAUAACNNNNNNNNNNNNNNNNNNNNNNNNNNNNNNNNNNNNNNNNNNNNNNNNNNNNNNNNNNNNNNNNNNNNNNNNNNNNNNNNNNNNNNNNNNNNNNNNNNNNNNNNNNNNNNNNNNNNNNNNNNNNNNNNNNNNNCUUUAUACCAAUAACAGAGGAUCUCCGGGAAUUGAACCCACAGUCCUUUAUACCAAUAACAGAGGAUCUCCGAGAAUUGAACCCGCAGUCUUUUAUACCAAUAACAGGGGAUCUCCGGGAAUUGAACCCGCAGAACUUUAUACCAAUAACAAGGGAUCUCCGGGAAUUGAACCCGUAGUCCAUCAUGUUAAUAUCAGAGGAUCACCCGGGAAUUGAACCCGUACUCCAGCAUAUCAAUAACAGAGGAUCUCCCGAAAAUUGAACCCAUAGUCCCAAAAGUAAACACACCACAACAAAUCAAUAUUUAACGGAAAGGAAGCGAAAUGCGAACAACAAGUAAAGUCGGGAGUCUAACAUACUUCAGAAGAAAGACAAAUAUGACAAUUUAGUCAAAUAGAGCAAAUAAAUUACUAGCAUGCUUUCCAAGAGAAGUUAGAUAUUUCAAUUUAGUCCUAACAUACUUCACAAGAAAGAAAAAUAUGGAAAUUUAGUCAAAUAGAGCAAAUAAAUUACUAGCAUGCUUUCCAAGAAAAGGAAAAUAUUGCAAUUUAGUCAAAUAGAGCAAUUAAGUUACUAACAUGUUUUCCUUAAGUCAAAACAAGUGAAGUUUCAUUUUUAACAAUUAAGUAUGCGAAGAAACGCAGUCUAAAUAAGCCAAGUAAGGUGAAUUUUCAACAACUAGCACAAGUACAUGCCCGUCACCUCUCGCAAAAGGCUUGUAAACAAUGACAAAGAUAUCCUAAGGGGAGAGGUCCCCCACACAAGAUUAGACAAGCCACUUACCUCGAAGAAGUGCAAGUCAACCUAAAAUCACGCCCUUGCCACGAGUAUUCGACUCCAAAUGCUCAACUCUAUCCAAUUAAAUUGCAUAUUGUAAAUAAUAAUUCAAGUAAUUUAUGCUUCAAAUUAAAUUCUAAGCGAAUACGCGAAAUUAUAAAAAUGACCAAGAUCACACAAACAUCGAUGAAGCUCAAUUUCUAAAGGUGGGAUUUUUAGCCAUACAUAUCUAAAAUUCACCCCUUAAUGAUACUACGAUGAUCCAAUAUGGUUGUGUAACUUCAAUCUACAAUACAACAUUCAAUAGGGCCAAUAUUGGUAAUAAAUUCCAUAACAAUAAUCCAAUACAGUUAUCUAUCUUCAAUCUGCAAUACAAUAUUCAAUAGGGCCAAUAUUUGUAGUAUAUUCCAUAACUUAUGCCAUCUAGGCAUAUUAUAAAUAAUAAUUCAAGUAAUUUAUGCUUCAAUAAUAAUUCAAGUAAUUCAAGUAAUUUACAUAAUAUAUUGUAAAUAAUAAUUCAAGUAACUUAUGCUUCAGUUAAAUUCUAGGCUAAUACGCGCAAUUAUAUAAAUGACCAAGAUCACACAAACAUCGAUGAAGCUCGAUUUCUAAAUGGUGGGACUUUUAGCCAUACAUAUCUAAAAUUCGCCCCUUAAUGAUACUACGAUGAUCCAAUAUAGUUGUGUAACUUCAAUCUACAAUACANNNNNNNNNNNNNNNNNNNNNNNNNNNNNNNNNNNNNNNNNNNNNNNNNNNNNNNNNNNNNNNNNNNNNNNNNNNNNNNNNNNNNNNNNNNNNNNNNNNNNNNNNNNNNNNNNNNNNNNNNNNNNNNNNNNNNNNNNNNNNNNNNNNNNNNNNNNNNNNNNNNNNNNNNNNNNNNNNNNNNNNNNNNNNNNNNNNNNNNNNNNNNNNNNNNNNNNNNNNNNNNNNNNNNNNNNNNNNNNNNNNNNNNNNNNNNNNNNNNNNNNNNNNNNNNNNNNNNNNNNNNNNNNNNNNNNNNNNNNNNNNNNNNNNNNNNNNNNNNNNNNNNNNNNNNNNNCCUUAUGGAAGAAAUCUUGCAAAACCCUCAUUUGAGUUCUUGAAGGAAUUUCUUGAAAAUCUAAGUGUUUAGGUGAAGAUUUCAUCAAUACUAGUAUAUAAAUGAAAGACUUUCACACCAAGAUGAUGAAGAUUACUUACCUUGAAGAUUGGGGGAGUUGAAGGUCUUGAGAGGGUGAAGAAACCCCAAAUUUUUGAGCUUGGAUGACAAAAAUGAAGGAAAGGUAGUACCCCUUCCCGUUUUUACACAGACCAGGGGUAUUUUUAGAUAUUUUACAGGUUUUCCCGUAGUGCGCGGUGUUCCCCGCGGUCAAACCCAUGGUUCGGGGCAGAGAUCUCCGCGGUCCAACCCGCGGCCGCGCGCCUGGGCGCGCCAGUGACUGACCUCCAGUAUAAUACUCAUAACUUUCUCUAUACACCUCCAAAUGACAAACGGUUUGUUGCGUUGGAAACUAGACUCAAAGGGAUUUAAUUGGAUAGGUCGUAGCUCACACAGAUCCUUGAAUAACGGGAGAUAUGAUUGUCCAAAGUGAGGUCUUGUGCACACUCAUUUACAAUUCCGUCUAUUUUUAAAUUUUCUAACUUCAAAAGUUCCCAUUAGCCAUACGAAAUCAUCCCGAGGCCCCGGGACCUCAACCAAAAAUACCAAUACAUCCUAUAAUGUUAGUCAAAUUUGUUCCAAGUAUCAAAACACCUCAACUAACUCCAAAAUCAUUGAAUUACAUCGAAUUCAAGCCUAAGUUUCUUUAAAAUUUCCAAAACGCGCAUUCGAUCAAAAACCCGACCAAACCACGUCUGAAUUACUUGAAUUUUGCACACACAUCCCAAAUCAUCAAAUGAAGAUACGACAGCUUCCGGAAUUUCGUUCCGAACCUCGGAUCAAAAUUUCACCUAUCAACCCGAAAUCGUCGAAAUACUAACUUCGCCAAUUCAAGCUUAAUUCUAUAUUGGUCAUCACAAAAAUAUUCCGGACACAUUUCUAAUUCCAAAAUCAUCUCCCGAAGAUAACCGAACCAUCAAAAUUCAUAUCCAAUCCCUCUAACUCAUAAGUCAAUGCUCGAUUGACUUUUCUAACUUAAGCCUUCUUAAAAGAGACUAAGUGUCUCAUUUCUUAUCAAAAUCACUCCAAUUCAAUUCUAACACACCAAAUACCUUUUGUAAAACAUAAUGAACCAGUUAAUAGGGGAACGAGGUGUAAAUUCUAAACGACCAGCCGGGUCAUUACAACUGGGAUCCUCGUCUUGCCACGACUCCGUACAUAUCAAAUUUACACCUCNNNNNNNNNNNNNNNNGACUUUUCUAACUUAAGCCUUCUUAAAAGAGACUAAGUGUCUCAUUUCUUAUCAAAAUCACUCCAAUUCAAUUCUAACACACCCAAUACCGUUAAUAAAAUAUAAUGAAGCAGUUAAUAGGGGAAGGAGGUGUAAAUUCUAAAAACGACCAUCCGGGUCGUUACAGGAACUCUUGUGCCACUUCCAUUCUGGCUUCUCUAACUCUGACCUCGAUCUCCUCCUCCCAAUCAACAACGUGCCAUAUGGAGCUUUCUUUCCUUUGCUCAGGGAUAACCUGGUUGUGAAACCACUCAAGGUAUGCAAGGCUUAUAUCCCCAUGUUCACGAUCAACUACCAUCUCGUCUAAAUUAGAAAAUCGACCACCAAACCAAACCUUUUGUGCAUAUGACUCCCUUUGAGGUUCCUCUCCCUUGAAUUCCCACAUGAACGGGCGCAUGUUCUCAAUCGGGGACCUUUUUUUCUCUCUCCCUAACUGACGCAUGAUGCGUAGGGUUAGAAACUUCUGAAACCCAUGAGCAUGAAGAACGGGCGAUACGUCGACAUAUGCGUGACCCUAGCAGAAGGGAACCAAUAAUAGUUCCAAGUGUUUCUAUCAGCAUUCAAUGAACCAAGUAAUUUCCGCCAGGCCCUCAUCCCCACUAGAAGAUCACAUCUUGCGGCCUUGUCUGGUGACAUGCAAUGUAAUUCUGCCAGUUUCAUUGAAAUUUAUUACUAUUAGAUGAUGAUAGAGGUGCUUUAUGAACUACAUCUACAGCUGAAUGUUGCAUCCCUCUAAGUAAUCUUCACCUUUGUGGAAGCGGGUCAAAGCUUAAAAAUAUCUCCCAAAAUCAUGGGAAGAAUGAUAUGAUCCUUGCUACUUUGCAAAUAUGAGACUACCGCAACAAAUCAAAUUCUAAUGUGCCCACCACGCUCUGUAAAGACCAUGAUUCCUAGAAAUCAUAUCAUGAACGUGAAGAUUCUCAACUCCCUCCAAGCGUCAUAACUUAACUGGUUGACGAUUUCUAUGCCCGGGAAAUUAUCAAACCAUUUCUCGUCCCCAAACCUUUCAGAGAGAUAUUCAAACGGAAUCCAACCUUCGUUUAAGCAAACCAUUGGGAUUCGACGGAGGCAUAAAUUCUUUAAUAAUUUAGUCACACCAACAUUUCUCGGUGCAACUGGCUUUUUAGGUCUCUCCCCAAUCCGGUAAAGCCACUUAAUUCUUCCAAUGUGGGCGUCAUUUCACAAUCUUUGAACCUGAAGACAUUGUUCGCGGGGUCCCAAAAACCCACUAGAGCCUCGAUUAAAUCUCUGUUAGGCUUAUUUCCCAUGAUUUUUGUAACUUAAGGUGCUUAAAUACUCGAUUUCCUUCCCAUUUAGCAAAACUAGCCCACUAAUUACAAAGACUACUCAGGGUCUUAUAUCUGAUCAAGAACAUAGGAUGUGUAUCAUUUGUUACCUUUUUCUGAAUGCUUCUUUGUGGAGAACUCAUGGUGAUCCUAAUAAUAAGAUAAAAAGGCUUAUCAUUUACCUAAACUAUAUGCAAAUUAUGAUCAUUUAUUAUUUUGUUUUAUGUUUUGGCCAAUUUAGGGCUCGAUCUAUUAUUGUUUUCUUCACAAUAUAUAAUUUGGAAUAACUGGACACAAAAGUUGAGAUAAUAAAAGCGCAAAAAUGGCUAUUAUUACAAAGACAACCCUUUGAUACUUCCAUAGAAGGCAUCACGGAUGUCUCGGCAAAAAAAACCAAACACAGGAACAAAAUUAUAAAAAUAGAGAAAAUAAUAAAUAAAAAACUAUUUUUACGAAAAUGACCCUUUGCUACUCCUAGAGGGGUUAAAAGCUAUUUUAGAUAAAAAAAAAGACAAAACUAGAUAAAUAUGGCUACUUUUGCAAAAAUAGUUUUUCGGUACUUCCGGAAAGGUUUAAAAUUGCUUCGAAAAAAAUGUCCAAAUACAAAGAAAAAAUGGUAAAAGGUGAAUAUAUAUGGAUAAAGUAACUAUUUUUUACAAAAAUGGCCCUUCAGCACUUCCCAGGAAGAUUCUAAGGCUGUCUUGGCAAAAUAACCGGAACAUCAUGGCAAGACAGUAAAACGGUGACCAAAAUAGGCUCUUUUUUAUUUUAUUUUAUUUUCAAAAAUUUUAUCCACAUGCGGAACUUUAUGCUCCAUUUUUUUGAAAAAUGUAGUUUGAGUCCAAUGGAGGUUGCUUACGUAUCUCUCAUCCGGUGAGAAUCAAACUCGCGUAGUUCGAUAAAACUGGUUACUUAUCUCUUUUGAUUUUUAUGAAAAUUAACAUUUACACCUCGUGCCAUACCACUACAAAUUUUUUUUUAUUUCUUAAUUAUUUUUUAUUUUUAAAAACAAAGGUUUAUUUGCACUAAACUAGGAGAAUGAUUCCCCCCCCCUCGUUAUUUUUAAUAACUACACUACUUUUUAAAACCGGUCAACAAUGCAAGUAAGACUUCCAAAUAAGGUAACAAGUAGAAUGUCACGACCCUGGUUCACCAAUUGUGAACCUGUCAUGACAGCACCCAGUCUUCGCAACUAGGUAAGCCUAACACAUUGCGGAAUUCAACAGUUCGAGAUAAAAAUAGUAAUCAAACACCAAAUACAAAAGGAAAUGUAUAAUCAUGCCGCUUGACACAUACAGUGAAUACACAACUCCUGAAAGUGACAUCCCAAAACUUGGAAUCCCACAGGCAACACAGACUGCAAGAAGCCUAACACUCUCUAGUCACCAGAAUUUGUCUAAUACAAAGAGAGGAAUCGAAAUAAUAGCUAAUAACUAGGGAUGGAAUGAGAAGGAAACUUUGCGGAUCUGCGGACGUAGCAGAUGUCUACCUCAAGUCUCCAAAAAUGAUCCCUGACAGCUACUGGCGGUAUGCCUGCUCAGAUGUACCUGGAUCAGCAAAACAAAAGUGUACAGAAGAGUAGCAUGAGUACACCACAAUGGUACUAAUUAAGUGACAAGCCUAACCUCGGUGGGGUAGUGACGAGGAAGGUCGAGGACCUAGUGAGAUAAACAUAAGAAUAAAUAUGAAAUGAAUAGACAAUAGGAAAUACAGUAAAUCUAGAGUAUCCAGCAAAAUAAUAAGAAUAACGGAAAUAGGCUACAACUACAACUACAAUCUACGAAUACAAGAACAAUUACUACAGGUUAUUUAUCAUCAGGGAUCUCCUGGUAUCCUCAUCCUAUGCACAAGGUAUCUCCAAGUAUCCCGAGGAUCUCCUUGUAUCCUCAUCAUAUAUACAAGGGAUCUCCAAGUAUCCCGAGGAUCUCCUAGUAUCCUUAACAUAUACACAAGGGAUCUCUUAGUAUCCUCCAGUAAUUAGUCAUGUGCUGGGGACUCUUAGUAUCUGCCAGUUAAUAAAUCUUCUACUGGGGAUCUCUUGGCAUCUCGCACUUCAAAAUCUCGAAACAAAAUACGAACAGGGGGAGCUCCCGGGAUGCCGUCCCGUAGUCCCAAUAGUAAGCACAUCACGACAAAUCAAUAUUUAACAGAAAGAAGCUAAGUGCGGAUAACAAGUAAAAUCUAUAGUCUAGCAUGUUUCACAAGAAAAACAGAUAUUGAAAUUUAGUCAAAUAGAGAAAAUAAGUUACUAACAUGCUUUCGCUAAGCUAAAACAAGUGAAAUUGCAUUUUAAAUAGUUAAAUAUGUGAAGAAACAUAGUUUUAAAUAAGCCAGGUAAGGUGGAUUUUCAACAACUAGCACAAGCACACGCCCGUCACCUUGUGCACAAGGCAUUUAAACAACAUCAAAGUUAUCCUAAGGGGAGAGGUCCCACACAUAAAGUUAGACAAGCCACUUACCUCGAAUAGGUAUCAAAAUUGCUAAGAAACAAUGCCCUUGCCACGAGUAUCCAACUCCGAGUAGCUACAAUCUAUUCAAACCAAUUACAUAUUAUAAAUAACAUCGCAAGUAACUAAUUCCAUUGUUAAAAUUAAAGCUAAGGCAUGAAAAUAGAUAAAAAUGACUAAAAUGCCCCUCAGGCCAACACCUUGAAAUCAAAUAAUUUUUACAUUUUCAGAAAUCUUGUACUCUCACCAGUCUAAUCAUAUAAAAAUCUCCCAAAUCGGAGGUCAAAUGCCCCUUCAAAUCCUCACAAUUAAGUCUAAGAACUUUACCCCAAUUUUCAAUCAAAAAUCCAAAAUUAAAGGUUGAAAUCACGAUUAGAUAAGUGGAUUUUAGUCAUAGAGGAGUAAGGAAUCGUUACCCAAUGGGAGCCUCUGAAAAGCCCUCGAAAAAUCUCCCAAACCGAGCUCUCUAGCUUGAGUUUUUGUAAAAAUGGAAGAAGGGUUCGUUUUGAAAUGUUUAUAUCUGCCCAGGGAUUUUCUUCAGUGCAAUCGCGUAAGAAGGGAUGAGAUCGCAUAAAGUAAAAAUGGAAGGCCUGGAAAAUGCUCUAUGUGAACGCAGUCAACAGGUUGCAAUUGCGGAGUAGAAGAAGGCAGAAAUAUGCGAUCGCGUAAGGACCCCUGCGAUCCAUAGAGGAAAUGAACCUCUGAGUCACAGGCUAGAGUUUUUCAGUGCGAACGCCGAAGAAAGUAUGCCAUCGCAUAGAAGGAGGGGGUAGAGUUAUGCGAUCAUAUUCAACGGCCUGCGAUCGCAUUGAAGAGAAAAUGGCCAACCACAAUUGGCACUAUGCGAUGGAAUGGAAGUUCAUGCGAUCGCAGAUAAGAAAAUUCUGCAACAGUUAUAGCAGAAAUAUGUCAUACUCUAAGUUCCAAAAUUGCUCCAUUGAGCAUAUGAAAGACCCCCAAGGCCUCUGGGACCUCAACCAACCCCAUGGAAAUAUCCCAUAACAUCAUUCAAACUUGUACCAAUCCAUAAACUACCUAAAAUAACCCUAGAACAUCGAAUUAAUUAAUGAUUUGAACUUAAAAACUUUAAAACUUAAUCAAACUCGCUUUCGAUUCAAAACCUAACCAAAACACAUCCGAUUGACCUGACAUUUUGCACGCAUAUCCCAAAUGACAUGACGGUGCUACAAAAACUUCCGAAUACCGUUUCGACCCUCGGAUACAAAGUUCACUAUCGGACCAGAAAUUUCAAAAUUCUAACUUUCGGCAUUUCUAGCCUAAAUGAGAUACGGGCAUCCAAAAUACAUUCCGAACACGCUCCCAUCCCCGAAAUCACCUAACGGAGCUAACGAAACCAUCAGAUUUCCAUUCUGAUGAUGUCUUCACACUGUUCUGAUUGUGGAUCAUUUUCUAACACUUAAGCUCUCAUUUAGGGACUGAGUGUCCUAAAACACUCCGAAUUCUAUUAGCGAACGUCCCGGUAAACCAAAAAUAGCAUAAAUGAACUUAGGGGAAGCAGUUAAUGGGGGAACGGGCCAUAAAUUACAAAGACUACCGGCCGAGUCAUCACAUCCUCCCACAUUUGAACAUUCAUUCAUCCUCGAACGACUAUAGAGAACAUACCUGAAGUAGUAAAAGGAUGAGGGUAUCGGCUGCGCAUAUCCUGCUCGGUCUCCUAAGUCACCUCCUUGGACGGCUGACCCCACCACUGAACCUUUACUGAAUCUUUAUCCUUUGACUUGAGCUUUCAGACCUGCCUGUCUAAUAUUGCCACUUGCUCCUCAACAUAGGACAAGUCAUUGUCCAAUUGGACUGAAGUCAACUCUAAAACGUGAGACAGGUCACCAUGAUACCUCCAAAGCAUCGAGACAUGAAAUACCGGAUGAACCUCGGCAAAACUGGGAGGUAAAGCAAGCUCAUAAGCAACCUUUCCAAUCAGCUUCAAAAUCUCAAAUGGACCAUCGAACCUCGGGCUCAACUUCCCUUUCUUUCCAAACCUCAUGAUGCCUUUCAUAGGCAAGACCCGAAGCAAAAUCCGCUAACCAAUCAUAAAGGAAACAUCACGAACCUUCCGGUGCGCGUAACUCUUCUGUUUGGACUGGCCCGUACGAAGUCUAUCCUGAAUCACCUUAACUUUCUCGACCGCAUCCUGGACCAAAUCAGUGUCCAAUAACCUUGCCUCACCCGACUCGAACCAACCCAUUGGGGAUCUGCAUCUCCUACCAUAUGAGGCCCAAUACGGUGCCAUCUGAAUACUGGACUGAUAGCUGUUGUUGUACGCAAACUCAGCCAAUGGCGAGAACUGAUCCCAAGACCCCCUAAACUCAAUCACGCACGCGCAGAGCAUAUCCUCAAGAAAUUGAAUAGUGCGCUCGGACUUUCCGUCCGUUUGAGGGUGAAAAUCUGUAGUCAUAGUCACCUGGGUACCCAACUCAUGCUGGACGGCUCUCCAGAACCUCGAUGUAACUACUGAACCCCUGUCUGAGAUGAUAGAAACUGGAAUACCGUGCAGACGGACAAUCUCCCUGAUAUAAAUCCCUUCUAACCGCUCCACUGAAUAAGAAGUACACAGUAGAAUGAAAUAAUCGGACUUAGUUAGCCGAUCCACAACAACCCAAAUAGAAUCAAGUUUCCUCGCCGUUAGAGGAAGACCAGUCACAAAAGCCAUAGCGAUUUUCUCUUAUUUCCACUUCGGAAUCUCCGUCUGCUGGAGUAAACCUCCCGGUCUCUGGUGCUCAGCCUUUACCUGCUGACAAUUGAGGGAUCUAGCGAAAAACUCUACUAUAUCCUUCUUCAUCCGCCUUCACUAGUAAUGCUGCCUCAGAUACUGAUAUAUCUUUGCAGCACCCGGAUUGACGGAGUACCGUGAGUCAUGGACCUCGCUCAAUAUCAACUCCCGAAUAUCAUCAACAUCAGGUACACAGAUCCGACCCUGCAUCUUCAAUACCCCGUCAUCUCCAAUAGUCACAUCCCUAGCAUCGCCAUGCUAAAUUGUGUCCUUGAGGACAAACAAAUGAGGGUAAUCAUAUUGCCGCUCCUUUAUACGAUCAAACAAAGAAGACCGAGAAACCACACAGGCUAAACCCCGACUGGGCUCCGAAAGGUCCCAUCUCACGAAGUGACUGGCUAAGGCCUGAACAUCCAUCGCCAUAGGUCUCUCUGAUGCUAGAAAAUAUGCCAAACUCCCCAAACUAUCCGCUCGGUGACUCAAGGCAGUGGCCUUGCUGGAGUGAUAAAGAAUAAUGAUAUCAUAAUCCUUCAAUAGCUCCAACCAUCUCCGCUGGCGCAAGUUUAGAUCCUUCUACUUGAACAAGUGCUGCAAACUCCGAUGAUCUAUGAAAAUCUCACAAGGCACGAUGUACAGAUAAUGAUGCUAGAUCUUUAAGGAAUGAACAAUAGCAUCUAACUCAAGGUCAUGGACAGGAUAGUUCUUUUAAUAUACCUUCAACUCUAUGGACGCGUAGGCAAUUACCCUACCGUCCUGCAUCAACACCGCUAAAAGUCUAACUCGUGAGGCAUCAUAAUAUACUAUAUAGGACCCCGAACUAGUAGGCAAAAUCAUAAUAGGGGCUGAAGUCAAAGCCGUCUUGAGCUUUUGGAAGAUCGCCUCACACUCGUAUCACCACUGAAAAGGAGCACCCUUCUGGGUCAAUCUAGUCAUAGGGGCUGCAAUUGAUAAGAACCCCUCCACAAAACGACGGUAAUACCUCGCCAGGCCAAGGAAUUUGCGGAUCUCUAUAGCUCAGGAGGUCUUGGGCAAAAUCUGCACGACCUCCACCUUCUUUGGAUCUACCGGAAUGACAUCACUCGAUACCACGUGGCCUAGGAAUGCCACAGACCUCAACCAAAACUCACAUUUUGAGAACUUUGCAUGUAAUUUCUUUUCCCUCAGGGUCUGAAGCACUGUCCUCAGGUGCUGCUCAUGAUCUUCCCAACUAUGGAGUAUACAAGGCUAUCAUCUAUGAAAACAAUAAAAAUAAGUCGAGAUAGGGCCUGAAUACACUGUGCAUCAAAUGCAUAAAAGCGGUUGGGGUAUUGGUCAGCCCAAAUGACAUGACAAGGAACUCGUAAUGACCAUACCGAGUCCUGAAAGCAGUCUUCGGGAUAUCCGGCUCCUGAAUCUUUUGCUGGUGAUAACCUGAGCGCAAAUCAAUCUUAGAAAACACCUGCGCGCCUUGAAGCUGGUCAAUAGAUCAUCAAUACGAGGAAAAGGAUAUCGGUUCUUCACAGUAACUUUGUUCAACUGACGAUAAUCAAUACACAUGCGGAUAGAACUAUCCUUUUUCUUUACAAACAAGACAGGAGCACCCCAUGGUGAAACAUUGGGUCCGAUCCAAACCCUUAUCAAGCAAUUUCUGCAACUGAUCCUUCAACUUCUUCAACUCAGUAGGAGCCAUACGGUAAGGAGGAAUAGAUAUGGGCUGAGUUCCCGGCAACAAAUCAAUACCAAAAUCAAUGUCCUGAUCGGGCGGCAUGCCCGAAAGAUCAGCUGGGAACACAUCGGGGAAAUUCAGUACAACUGGAACAAAGUCAACAGAAGGGGUAUCAGCACUGAAAUCUCUCACAUAAGCUAAAUACAUGGCACACCCCUUCUCAACCAUACGCUGAGCUUUAAGAAAGAAUAUGACUCUACUGGGAGUGUGAUCAAAAGUACCACUCCACUCAAUACAUGGAAUACCUGGCAUAGCUAGCAUCACAGUGUUAGCAUGACAAUCAAGAAUAGCAUACUGGGGCGACAACCAGUCCAUGCCCAAGAUAAUAUCGACAUCAACCAUAUCAAGUAAUAAAAGAUCUACCCUGGUCUCAAAACCACGAAUAGUAACCAAACAUAACCGAUAUACACGGUUCACAAUAAGGGAAUCUCCCACGGGAGUAGAAACAUAAAAUGGAGAACUCAAGUUCUCUCGGGCUGUACCCAAAUGCGGAGCAAAAUAAGAUGACAUGUAAGAAUAAGUAGAGCCUGGGCCGAUAUACGCGGUCCACAAUAGGGGAACCUCCCACUGGUGUAGAAACAUAAACAGGAGAGCUCAACGUCUCUCGGGCUGUACCCAAAUGCGGAGCAAAAUAAGAUGAUACAUAAGAAUAAGUAGAGCCUGGAUCGAAUACAGCUGAUAUCUCUCUGUGACUAACCAAUAUAAUACCUGUGAUAACUAAAUCAGAGGUGAUAGCCUCGGCACAAUCAGGAAUGACAUAAAACCUGGCCAGGCCCCUCCCUCGAGGGCGACCUUUAUCUACCCGAUCUCCACCUAUGGCUGGCUAGGUAGGUGGGGUGGCAGCUGGAGUCUGAACAAUGGUUUGAGAAUCCAGCUGGGUACGCUGCUGCUGAGACAGCUAUGGAGGUGCACUCCUCCCAAGCCUGGGGCAAUCCUCACCACAAGGCAUUUAUCCCCGCACUUAUAACAAGCUCUGGGAGGGCGUGGUGGUUGUGAUUGACUGGGCCCACCCCUGCUAGAUUGGCCCCUGGAAGUACCCCGCGUAGGAGGCGCACUGGAAACUGAAGGUGCAAAUAAGGCUCCUAAGAUCUGGGAGGAGCUGGGGUACUGCUGGGUGAAGGAAUAGCUGAGUGAACCAGGUGGCCCGUAUAGCCCCUACCAUGACGUCCUGCUCCUAAAGUACGUGUACCAGAGAAAUGAUCAGACGCUUGAGACCUCUUGGCUUCUCUCUCCUCUCGCUCUCUGGCAUGCAUACCCUAUAUCCUCCUGGCUUUGCUCACUACCUGCAGAUAGAGUAUAUCCAUCUCCAACUCUCGCGCCAUACCAGACCUGAUGUAAGGAAUAAGACCCUCGAUAAACCUGUGAACCCUUUCACGAACAGUAGCCACCAAAGCAGGAACAUGCCUGGACAACCUAGUAUAACGGAUGGCAGACUCAGAGACGGUCAUAAGGCCCUGGCGUAAGUGCUCAAACUUCACGCGCCAUGAAUCUAGGAGGCUCUGGGGAACAAACUUUCUAUGAAACAUAUCUGAAAACUAAGUUCAAGUCAGGGAGGCAGCCUAGUCCGGACUGUCUUACUCAAAAGUGCGCCAAUAAUCAUAGGCGGCUCCCUGAAGCUGGAAAGCUGCGAAAGAAACCCCGCUUGAGGAAGUAAUACCCAUGGUGUGGAAAUUGCGUGACAAUCCUCCAAGAACCCCAAAUUCCUAAAAUAUUUUCUAAAUUCUUCUUCUGUUAAACAUUUAUUUUUACUUUCUAAUUUAACUGUUUCUUGUAACAAGUUCAAAACUUGUUCUUUACCUAUACACACUAAGAUUUUACUUCUUGAGUUGCGUUUUUGCUCCACUUCCAUGGAACCUUUUCUGAAACCAUUUUUGCAAAAGACUUCAAUGUUUUGAAAGAUCUUAAGCAUCAUCUGUAGCUAGCCCACUGAAAAUUGGAGGGUCAUACUUCUUGAACCUCUCCAAUCUAUGCUUCUCAUCCUCCGAAGCAGGUGCCCCAUCCUCGGGCUGGACCGGUACUGCAGGCUGGGCCAGGAUAAUAUCUGGAAUCUAUCCCAUAUUCACCCUCUGCUCUGGAGUAUGGGCUGCGGGAGUCUGGGCUCCUCCCCUGGCCUGGGACGUGGCUACAGGAAGGGGAAGCAACCCUCCCUGUGACAGCGUAGUACACAUGCUCAUAGACUACGCCAAUGCCUCCUGAACAGCUGGAGUAGUGGUGACUGUGGGCGUGUCUGGUGCCUGAGUCCUAGCUGGAUCCGCUGGUGGUACCUCGGUGGAUGCUCGCGCAGGUGCUCUGGCUGCACCCUGCGCACAUCCAAGACCCCUACCCCGGCCCCUGCCUCUAGCGGCUUUAGGAGGGGGUGCAGGUACCUGAUCAUCCCGGGUCUUGCGUGUCCUUACUAUCUGUGAGAGAAUAGAAGAAGGAAUUUUAGAAUCGAUGUAAAAAAUUAUAGCACGAUAAGAAAUUCAAUGAAGUGAAGAUUUUUUUCCUAACCAAUUACAUAGCAUCCCGUAGAUAAGUACAAACAUCUCAGUACCGAUCAGCGGGACUUUAAAUAACCCUCAUGUGUCCCAUGACCCCUAUGAACCUAGAGCUCUUAUACCAACUUGCCACGACCCUAAUUCACCAAUUAUGAACCUUUUAUGACGCCACCCAGUCUUCGCGACUGGUUACUUAUCUCUUUUGAUUUUUAUGAAAAUUAACCUUUACACCUGGUGCCAUACCACUACAAAUUUUUUAUUUAUUUCUUAAUAAUUUUUAUUUUUUAUUUUAAGAAAAGGUUUAUUUUCACUAAACUAGGAGAAUGAUUCCCCCCCCCCCUCGAUUUUUUUAAUAACUACACUACUUUUUAAAGCCGGUCAACAAUGCAAAUAAGACUUCCAAAUGAGGUAUCAAGUAGAAUGUCACGACCCUGGUUCACCAAUUGUGAACCUGUCAUGACGGCACCCAGUCUUCGCGACUAGGUAGGCCUAACACAUUGCGAAAUUUAACAGUUUGAGAUAAAAACAGUAAUCAAACACUAAUUACAAAAGGAAAUGUAUAAUAAUGCUGCUUGGCACAUACACUGAAUACACAACUCCUUAAAGCGACAUCCCAAAACCCGAAAUCCCACAUGCAACAGAGACUGCAAGAAGCCUAACACUGCUCUAGUCACCAGCAUUUGUCUAAUACAAAGAGAGGAAUCGAAAUAAUAGCUAAUAACUAGGGAUGGAAUGAGAAGGAGACUUAACGGAUCUGCGAACGUAGCGGAUGUCUACCUAAAGUCUCCAAAAAUGCUCCCUGACAGCUACUGACGGUAUGCCUGUUCAGAUGUCCUGGAUCUGCACAACAAAAGUGUGCAGAAGAGUAGCAUAAGUACACCACAGCGGUACUCAGAAAGUGCCAAGCCUAACCUCGGUGGGGUAGUGACGAGGAAGGUCGAGGACCUACUGAGAUAAACAUAAGAAUAAAUAUGAAAUGAAUAUGAGUACACCACAGGGUACUUAGUAAGUGCCAAGCCUAACCUCGGUGGGGUAGUGACGAGGAAGGUCAAGGCCCUACUGAGAUAAACAUAAGAUUAAAUAUGAAAUGAAUAGACAAUAGGAAAUACAGUAAAUCUAGAGUAUCCAGCAGAAUAAUAAGUAUAACGGAAAUAGGCUACAACUACAACUACAAUCUAUGAAUACAAGAACAAUUACUACAGGCUAUUUAUCAUCAGGGAUCUCCUGUUAUCCCGAGGAUCUCCUGGUAUCCUCAUCGUAUACACGAGGGAUCUCCAUGUAUCCCGAGGAUCUCCUAGUAUCCUCAUCAUAUACACAAGGUAUCUCUAAGUAUCCCGAGGAUCUCCUAGUAUCCUUAUCAUAUACACAAGGGAUCUCUAAGUAUCCCGAGGAUCUCCUAGUAUCCUUAUCAUAUACACGAUGGAUCUCCAAGUAUCCCGAGGAUCUCUUAGUAUCCUCCAGUUAAUCAGUCUUGUGCCGGGGAUCUCUAAGUAUCUGCCAGUUAAUAAAUCCUGUGUCGGGGAUCUCUUGAUAUCCUAAACUUCAAAAUCUCAGAACAAAAUACAGGGGGAGCUCCUGGGAUGCCGUUCCGUAGUCCGAAUAGUAAACACAUCACAACAAAUUAAUACUUUGAAAGAAGCUAAGUGCGGACAACAAGUAAAAUCUAGAGUCUAGCAUGCUUAACAAGAAAGACAGAAAUUGCAAUUUAGUCAAAUAGAUCAAAUAAGUUACUAACAUGCUUUCGCUAAGAUAAGUAAAAUUGUAUUUUUAACAGUUAAAUAUGUGAAGAAACACAGUUUAAAUAACCCAAGUAAGGUAGAUUUUCAACAACUAGCACAAGCACACGCCCGUCACCUCAUGCACAAGGCAUUUAAACAAAACAAAGAUAUCCUAAGGGGAGAGGUCCCCUCAAGCAAAGUUAGACAAGCCACUUACCUCGGACCAGUACCAAAAUCGCAAAGAAACAAUGCCCUUACCACGAGUAUCUGACUCCGAGUGGCCCAAAUCUAUUCAAAUCAAUUACAUAUUAUAAAUAACAUCGCAAGUAACUAAUUCCAAUAUUAAAAUUAAAGCUAAGGCAUGAAAAUAGAUAAAAUAACUAAAAUGCCCCUCAGGCCAACAUCUUGAAAUCAAAUAAUUUUUACAUUUUCAGAAAUCUCUUACUCUCACGAGUCUAAUCAUAUAAAAAUCUCCCAAAUCGGAGAUCAAAUGCCCCUUCAAAUUCUCACAAUUAAGUCUAAUAACUUUACCCCAAUUUUCAUUCAAAAAUCCAAAAUUAGAGGUUGAAAUCACGGUUACAUAAGUGGAUUUUAGUCAUAGAGGAGUAAGGAAUCGUUACGCAAUAGUUGCCUCUGAAAAGCCCUUGAAAAAUCUCCUAAAACCCCGAGCUCUCUAGCUUGAGUUUUUGUAAAAAUGGAAUAAGGGUUCGUUUUGAAAUGUUUAUAUCUGCGCAGGGAUUUUCUUCAGUGCGAUCGCAUAAGAAGGGAUGCGAUCGCGUAGAGUAAAAUUUAAGGCCUGGAAAAUGCUCUAUGCGAACAAGCCAACAGGGUGCGAUCGCGGAGUAGAAGAAGGUAGACCUAUGCGAUCGCUUUAAGGACCCCUGCGAUCGCAUAGAGGAAAUGAAUCUCUAAUCACCGGCUAGAGUUGUUUAGUGCGAACGAGGAAGGAAGUAUGCGAUCGCAUAGAAGGAGGGAGAAGAGCUAUGCAAUCGUAUUCAAGGGCCUGCGAUCACAUUGAAGGAAAAAUGGCCCUCCACAAUUGGCACUACGCGAUCGCAUGGGAGUUCAUGCAAUCGCAGAGAAGAAUGUUCUGCUACAACAGAAAAUCUGUUGUACUCUAAGUUCAACAAUUGCUCUGUUGAGAAUAUGAAACACACCUGAGGCUCCCGAGACCUCAAUCAAACCUACGGACAUAUCCCAUAACAUCAUUCAAUCUUGUACCAAUCCUUAAACCACCUAAAACAAUGCCGGAAGCUCGAAUUAAUCAAUGAUUUGAACUUAAAAACUUCAAAACUUAAUCAAACUCACUUUCGAUUCAAAACCUAACCAAAACACAUCCGAUUGACCUGCAACUUUGCAUGCACAUCCCAAAUAACAUUAGGGUGCUACAGCAACUUCCGGAAUCCCGUUCUGACCCUCGGAUCAACAAUUCACCAUCGGACCAGAAACUUCAAAAUUCUAACUUUCAGCAUUUCCAACCUAAAUGAGCUACAUGCAUCCAAAAUACAUUCCGAACACGGUCCCAACCCCAAAAUCACCUAACGGAGCUAACGGAACCAUCAGAUUUCCAUUUCGAGGCCAUCUUCAUACUUUUCUGAUUAUGGACUAUUUUCCAACACUUAAUCUCUCAUUUAGGGACUAAGUGUCCCAAAACUCUCCGAAUUCUAUUACCGAACGUCCGAAAACCCCAAAAUAGCAGAAAUAAACUUAGGGGAAGUAGUUAAUGGGGGAACGAGGCAUAAAUUUCAAUGAAGACCGACCGGGACGUCACAUAGCACAUAAGUGUACAUGAUGGCCUCAAAGAGGAUACCUGUCUUAUACGGACCCGGCCCCUGUGCCGAGUCUCGCUAAGUCAAAUGCACGUGAUGCACAUAAAGCGAACCUACUAGGGAUAUCUGGCAUGAGGUUUUUUCUUCUAGGUUUAAAUCCUGGUGGAGAAGGUAUCUAGACCAGCUUACUCGAUUGAACAUCUCGAGCUGAGAAGGGUCAGUGUACCGGUAGUAUUGCUUUUCGACUUAACUGGUGGUGCUCCCCGCCUAAACAUGUGUGACUAAAAUGAUUCACCGGGUGACAAGCACCUCGGCUAUCUCAAAGAAAGCGGGCUAUGUCAAGAAAAUACUCAAUUUUUAAUUUCAAGAAGACUCAAAGGGUACGCGAGAAGACAAUUUGUAUGUACAGUUCAAUAAUAUCGAAGCAGUAAAAUGCGAAUAGGUAUCACAUUAGGCACAAAUAAAUAACAAUAUACACAAAAUUAAUAAAGCCGAAUAAAAGUCAACAUGUACAAGCUUAAAUUCUAGUUAGUUCCCCAGCAGAGUCGCUAGAGCUGUCUCACCCCAUUUUGUACCCCUCCAAAAGAUAUGGAUGUUAUGGAUUAUAGUGGGUUAAAAAGUUUUAAAAUUAAAGUGAUAAUAUUAAAAUAGGGAUUAUUUUAUUAUUCAAAGUCGUCACAUGGAAUUGAUUUUUGGGUGUUCCAAGUCAUCAUUUAUUUAAGUCCUAAGUCAAAGGAAGGUUUGACUCUAUUUUAUCGGUCAGCGAAAAUAAAGUUCGGAUAAGGAAUUUUAUUAACCGGAGAGAAGGUGCAAGGCAUUCCCCGAGUACUGUGAUUUUAGCACGAUCGCUUUUAUUGACUAAAAUUGGCUUGAAUUAUUUUUGGAAAAACUGUGCUUUAUUUAGUUUUUAUGUUUUACCUAUCCGCUUGAUUAUUUGGUUUAUUAAUAAAAAAUAAUUUUUUGGAUGAAUUAUGUUCUCAUAACCAUGCUACGCGAGUGAGUGCGAGAUCGAAUAAAAAUAAUUAAUUAACUUUUCAUAAUUGCGCCUCGCAAGCGAAUCCGAAAUCAUGACAAUCAAUUAUUUGUAAUACUUUUUAAAAAAAAUUACUACAUUUGAAAAAAUUAGCUCUUGAAAAUUUAAAAAUCAAUUGUUGCGCUAUGCAAACGAAUCUGAAAUUUUAACAAGGAUUAGUUAAAUUAAAAUUUAACUAAAAAAUUGAUGGGUAUGGUAUGGAAUUAUUGAAUUAAUUUAUUGAAUGUUAAACAUCACGUUUCACAAGCGAUUCCAUGAGUUUUGCUUACCUACUAAUUGCCUAGCGUUUAAAUUAAUUACUACGGAGAUUAAGUUAUUUUUUUUAAAAAAAAUAUUCACUAGAAAAGGCUAUAAUCCUAUUAUGUUUGUUUAACCAAAUAUAACAUUUAAACUUGGACUAGCUUAUCAAUUAGUGGCAUUGGUAUUGCUGAAGUUAUUGAAAGAAAAUUGGCCCAUUUUUAUGAGGAAACUACACUAACUACCCACUAAACCCAAAAUAAAUACCCGGUUUUACCUAUUUGGAUAGUAAUUACUAAAUAUACCUAUUCCAUAUAAAAUUAUUACCCGUCUAAUUAUAAAGAAAGUCUCUAAAGACUUCAGGGGAAAUGAACAUAUACUUAAUCCACGCUUAGUCUUCCUUGUUACAAUACAAAGUACGAAACAUUUUCAUUUCUCUCUUCAUCAAUUUCCUCUCUUUGUUUUUGCUUUUAUUUUCAUAAGUUAAAUUUUUUAUCUAAUAGACAAUAUUUUUAUGAUAUUCACAAAUGGGUAGUUAUGUUAAUUUUCUCUUGUUGAAUGAAAUUAUAUUGAAUGCCUUUUAUCGCCAUAAAACACUAUCUCCCUCCUUACAAAUUUCACAUUUUUUUGUAACUCUUUGUCCUUGUUCGAGUCAUUUUUCAAAAUAUGAUUGUGAUUUUGGUGCUUGGAAUUUGAUAUUAAGCUUCUCAAAUCUGAAUUUUGUGUGUAUUUGAAUAUCCUCUAUUGUUGGGUUUGAAAGUAUUGAAUUUAAAAAAUUUAUGUUGAAGAUUUUUUGUUUGAUUCAAAGUGGGUGUUAUUAAAUAUUACUUAUAGUACCUUCUGAAAUUUCAUACUAAAAUUUGAUCGCAUUGGAGCUGAUUUUAGGUGAUUGAGAUAUAAUUUUCAACUAAAAAAUGAAUAGAAAUACAGUUAUGCAACAGUAUACCGCUACAUUAUACAAAUAUACUAUAGGAGUAUAUAACUAUACUGCGACACUAUACUAUUAUAGUUUACAAGUUAAUAGUAUUACAAGUUACAGACAAUAACAAGAGAAGAAGACAAUACCAAAAUCUUCAAGGAUUACAAGUUACAGACAAUAACAAGAAAGAAAUGAUGCUGGAUGAUACCUUUUAACCAUAAUUCUUUUUGUAUUUUGUAGCUAAAUUUUUAGUCAAUUUGGUGGAGAUUUUGUAGUAAAUUUUAGAAAUUUGGGUUGAAAUACAGUUGAACUAGAGAAGAAGACAAAUUUGUAUUGUAUACUCAAAUAGUAUACAAAUAUACCAUUUUAGUAUACAAUUCAUCACAUCUAUAUACCCUAUUAGUAUAGCUAUAUAUUAUUGAUAUCAUAUGCUAGUUGAAUUAUUUUUUGAUUGUAUUAGCUGUAUUUAAUUAGUACAAUAUUUGGUUUCUUUUAAUAAUAGUAAUAUAGUACAAUAUCUUGAAAUACCUUAUUAUAUUAAUAUGUGGUACACUAUUUUUUUCUUUAUGCAUGUGUGUUAUCUAAUAGUAGCAUAGUCAUAUAGUUGCCGAGAAUUAACUAGUAAAAUUGUAUACCGUGUUGGUAUAGUUAUAUGCCAUAUUGGUAUUAUAUGGUAGUUUGAACAUUAUUUUGGUUGUUUUAGCUACAUUUUAAGUUAACUCUAUUAUGAAAUUAUUUAUAUUAACAUGAGUUGCAAUAAUACUAGAAUUUUUGUGUGCUUAUGGGCAUAAAUUAAGUGUAUUAAUAGUUUUUAUAGUUAUAGGCAAUUGUUGGAACGACCCUAUACAACUAUAUAGCCUCUUAAUAUAUCAAAUGUGGAAGUUCUUUUGCGAAUAUUUAGUUUGCAAUACGAGCAUGUAAUUUUCUUAUACUUUUAUUGUGUUCCUUAAUGCUUUGGUAGAGUAGUAUAGUCGCAGAUAGUUGUAGCAAUAUUUUAGAGAAAUCAUAUGCGUUAUUGGUAUAUAUAUAUACCAUAAUGGUAUAACAUGGUAUUAGAAGUCUUUUUCGCUACAUAUACUUUAUUUCUAUUUUUAAUAUUUUAUUAUCAUUUUUAUUCUAACUAGUAUAUAUUGUACUAGUUAUAUUAAAAAAGGUGAAUAAACAUUUACUAUAUCAAUUAUUUUUCUUAUUGUAUAAAAAAGAAUAAUAAAAAACAGUGAAAAUGGUAAAUGAAAUUAGAUUAUGAAGAGAAAAAGAAUAUAUAUAAAAAAAUAAGUUAAAUGAAAUUAGAAAAGGAAAAAAAAAGCAGAAAAGAAAAAAAGAAAAAAAGAAGAAGAAAAGAAGCAUAGAAAUAAAAAAGAAUUGGAGAAUAAAAGAAAAAAUUCCCUACACAAACUACUAUGGGUAGGAAAUAUAAUUAGUUUAUGGGUAGAAAAACAAAUGGAUAGACAAGAAUAAAUGGUUUUAUUUUUAUGGGUAACUGUGUCAAAACCCCUAAAAUAAUAUUCAUUGUAGUAGAAGUAGGAGCCAGAAGACAUAAAAUAGUAAUAUAUCUAUUUGGUAUACUAUUAUGACAAGUAUUUUAUAAUAAUAUUAAUUACAAAUAUGCCAUUUUAUUAUACUAAUAUAAUAUCUUAUUAUAAUGAUAUAUAAUUUUGAAUCUUAUGUGCUAGAAAUAUUUACAGUAAUACAUAUAUUUAAAAAAGAUAAAUAAGAUAUACUAUAUAGGUUGUUUUUUUAAAAUUGAUAUGAGGAAAAAGAAAAUAUGGAACAAAAGGAAAAAAUUCAAAGUAUUUAUCAGUUUUUUUUAUUUCUAUGGCAAAAGAAAAAAAUAAAGAAAAGGAUCAAAUGAGUGCCGAUCAUCAAUAAGCAUUUGAUGGUCCAUGGAAUAGAUAGACCGGGUAAAUACUUUGAUUUGGAUAGAAAAGGGUAAAUUGUUUGUAUUAGGUAGGUAUUUGUGAACUUAUCCCCAUUCUUAUUGAAAGUAAGGGCUUGUUAUAUUCAGAAGGAAUGGACCAGCCAACUUUGUUUGAAUUGGGUUGCAGAAAUUUGGAUUUAUUUGGCCCACAUAUAUUUUUUUUAAAAGAAGAAAAGACCAGCUAGCAUGCUUAAACGAAAUGGGCCUAGCAGAAUUUCUUUACAAAGAACAGGCCGAUUAACUAUUAUUUUCAUGGGCCUGGUGAACGUGAUUUUAUUUGGCCCAAAUAAUCUGUAGUUCCAAUUAACUAAUACUGCCAACAAAACUAGUUAUGCAUAAAUUUAUGUAGCCUAUUUAUUUAAAUCCAACUUCUUUUAUUGCUUAAAAAAAAGUCUACCUCUAUUAAGUAUUACCACAUUAUCUAAUGCUAACUUACACAAGAACAAAAAAAAAAUUAAACUUACGCAUCUCUAAUGACCAAUUUCAGUUAAAUAGGGCGAAACUAACGUAUUCGUCACGCCAACUCUCCAAACUUCAAAUAACCUCAUUUGACUAAACAUUGGUGUCUCUCUUUUUAGCUUCAAACACCCAAUGAACUUAAAGAAAUAGCAAGAACUCUAUGUAGCAAUACAUCAAUAAUAAGGGUGAAGUAGUAAAUCUUUAUCAAGACUUCUCAUGCUCAGCAUAUUUACAACCCAAAAGAGAUAAAGCAAUGCCCUUAGAACUUUAAAAAUGACAACAUUCAUUUAAUAUUAUAACUUAACAAAACAAGCAACCAUAUUUUCAUGCUUUUUAUCACAAGUUACAUUGCAAAGUUUAAAAGAAAUACCUAGCUUGUGGGAUUUCAAAAUGCAGCAACAAAGAAAAUGAAACUCGACAGCGAAUGACCGUAGGAAACAACAAUAAACAACAACGAGAAAAAAUUGAAUCCGUGUCAGAACAGCCUAGAAAUCUCACUAAUGACAGCAUAUUAGAACUUAACAAGACAAACAGCCGUAUUCUCAUGCUUUUUCUCACAAGUUACAUUGCAAAGCUUAAAAGAAAUACCUAGUUUGCAGAAUUUCAGAAUGCAGCAACAGAGAAAAUGAAACUCGGCAGCAAAUGACCGUAGAAAACAACAAUAAACCACAACGAAAUAGCAGUGAAUCCGUGUUAAAACAGACCAGAAAUCUCACUAACAGUAGAGAUUCUUUAGGAGAAGAUACUCCAGAAUCAAACUCUAAGACUCUAAUAUGUUUUUGAAAGAUUUUGCACUCUAAAACUCAACCAAAUCUCAUGAUUUUCAGCUUACUUUUCAUGUGUUCAAUUACUGAAAUUUUUUAUGUUGUGUUCAAGCAAUUCUAAAUAUGUAUGAAAGUGUGAUGGAGUCCCCCCUUAUAAAUAAGGAAAGGGUUGCCCUUAAGUAGGCAAAGAAAGACACUUUUUAGGUAAAUUUUUGUUUACCAAAAAUCUGUCAAAAAAGGGGCUGGUUUGGUGUACUAAACACUAUUCAAAGGCUGUCUAAAAUGUAAAAGGACAACCUGACUAAGGCCAGCUAGCGUACUUAAAUGAAAUGAGCUUUUUAUCAUAAGUUACAUUGCAAAGCUUAAAAGAAAUACCUAGUUUGCAGAAUUUCAGAAUACAGCAACAGCGAAAAUGAAACUCGGUAGGAAAUGACGUAGAAAAUAGCAAUAACAACAGCGCAAAAGCAGUGAAUCGUGCUAAAACAACCCAAAAAUCUCACUAACAAUAGUGAUGCUUUAGGAGAAGGAACUGCAGAAUAAAACUCUAAGACCCUUAUAUGUUUUUGAAAGAUUCUGCACUCUAAAACUCAACCAAAACUCAUGAUUUUCAGCUUACUUUUCAUGUGUUCAACCGCUGAAAUGUUUUUUUGUUUUGGUGUGUUCAAGCAAUUCCAAAUAAUGUAUGGAAAUGUGAUGGAGUCUCCCCUUAAAAAUGAGGAAAGGGCAAAGAAAGCCACUUUUUGAGUUGAUUUUAGUUCACCAAAAAUUUGUCCAAAAAAGACUGACUUUAUGUGCCAAACACUAUUCAAAGGCUGUCCAAAAGGUGAAAGGACAGCCUGAAAAUCUUCUAUAGCACAAGCAAGGAGAAAAUAUCAUUUCAGCCACCCUACUUGUCAAAAGUAAGCUACGAAUACCCUAAGUCAUGAUCAAACCCAUAACAACUUCAGAUUUUGACAACAUCAAUACCACCCUAUUGAUUUUGAACCAAAACAAAUCUCACAACUAACGAUUGAUAAAACAGAAAAAACUCAAACUAAUUAGAUUAAAACAAAUUGAUUUGUGCAAACUAAACAUAGAACAAACAAUUGAAUUCACAAACUAAUGCUCGAAACAGAUUUUGAAGAUCUCUAGACUAUCAUGAUUAAUAACAACUAAAGAUACGACUAAUUAUAUAUAAAAUUCAACUAAUAUUUUGGUUUCUUUUUAAUUUUUCAUGAAAAUAACAUAAAUACUUAACUAUUCGACUGACUAGGUCGAAAGAGCUAAAAAAAAUCAAACUUAACAACUAUAUAAAAAGUAGUCGACUGACUAAAUCGAAGAACCAAAAAUCAGAACUAAUAGACAAUAACAAACUACUCGACCAGCUAGGUUGACAAACUGAAAUUCACAUUUUCAAAUGUGUAAUUAAAAACUAAUACUCGUUGCACAUAAAUAACAGAAAUAUAAAUGGAAAUUAAAUAUUAGAACUAAUACUAUACCAUUAAUAAAAAAUCAGAAAAGAUAAUAAUAGGAAAAGGAAAUUGACAUUUUACCAUACAGAGGGAUUCAAUGCCAAAUCGAGCAAGAGACGGAUGCCGGGAUGACUCCAUGACUGCCCGACCUUGAACGGGCGUUUCAUUCUAGCACACUAAAAAACAAAUAAGUUCUAGUGCUGUACUAGAGAGAAACGAGUGUUUUUGGUCGGGGAUAAUCUAAAAAUAAAAGGCCUAUGAUGGUCUUGGGGUGGUCAAGACAGUGGCGAGCAGUGGUGUGGAAAAUAGCGGUGGUUGGACGUCGGGUAGUGGGGGUGACUGCCGGUGGUGGUGAGGUUUUUUGAGGUUUUGAGUUGGAGAUAUGGAAAGAUGUAUCGAAGAAGAGGUCAGUGGUGCAAAUUUUUUGGAGUUUGGGGUGGUGGGCAGCGGCUAGGGUUUUGGUUAAGAUUAGAUCUACAAAUAUUGAGAAGGGUUAUGAGAUUUUGGAGUUCAGAUUCAUGGAUAGGAGGUAGAGCGAAAAAAGUGAUGAAAUUUUGGGUUAGAUUGGAGGUUGGCCACCGCCGAUGGAGAAUUCUGGCGGGCGGCGCUGGGCGGACCUGGGAGAUAGAAGAGAGAUUGAUGAGAGAGUGCAGAGAGGGGAAGAAGAAAGGGAAAUAAGGCAUAAAGGGGGCAAAAUUUGGCCAAACUAGGCUUUAAAUACCUAAGAUGGG